GCCGGAGUAGCUCAGUGGUAGAGCGCAUCCCUGAAGAGGAUGGCGUCAGGAGUUCGAUUCUCUUCUCCGGCA
rnacentral:tRNA from 1 species